rnacentral:rRNA from 1 species
GGGGGGCCUAACAUGCAGUCGAGCGAGCUUGCCUAGAUGAUUUUAGUGCUUGCACUAAAUGAAACUGGAUACAAGCGAGCGGCGGACGGGUGAGUAACACGUGGGUAACCUGCCCAAGAGACUGGGAUAACACCUGGAAACAGAUGCUAAUACCGGAUAACAACACUAGACGCAUGUCUAGAGUUUGAAAGAUGGUUCUGCUAUCACUCUUGGAUGGACCUGCGGUGCAUUAGCUAGUUGGUAAGGUAACGGCUUACCAAGGCAAUGAUGCAUAGCCGAGUUGAGAGACUGAUCGGCCACAUUGGGACUGAGACACGGCCCAAACUCCUACGGGAGGCAGCAGUAGGGAAUCUUCCACAAUGGACGAAAGUCUGAUGGAGCAACGCCGCGUGAGUGAAGAAGGGUUUCGGCUCGUAAAGCUCUGUUGGUAGUGAAGAAAGAUAGAGGUAGUAACUGGCCUUUAUUUGACGGUAAUUACUUAGAAAGUCACGGCUAACUACGUGCCAGCAGCCGCGGUAAUACGUAGGUGGCAAGCGUUGUCCGGAUUUAUUGGGCGUAAAGCGAGUGCAGGCGGUUCAAUAAGUCUGAUGUGAAAGCCUUCGGCUCAACCGGAGAAUUGCAUCAGAAACUGUUGAACUUGAGUGCAGAAGAGGAGAGUGGAACUCCAUGUGUAGCGGUGGAAUGCGUAGAUAUAUGGAAGAACACCAGUGGCGAAGGCGGCUCUCUGGUCUGCAACUGACGCUGAGGCUC